AUGGCAGGCACUAAAGUUUUAGCUAUGGCUUUUGUUGUUCUCUUGGGCAUUGGAUUAGCCAAGGCAGCGCGGGUGUCCAGGCUCUCCGAUGCUCAAGGGAGUGGAGGGGGCGGGGGAGGUGGAAUUGUGGACGGCAGUGGCUCAGGAUCCGGGAGUGGCACCGCAUCCAGCCGGGUCGUUCCGAACGAAGGCCAUGCGAGUGCCGGAGCUACCCAUGCAGUCGCCGGAGCUGGAGGCAGCGGCGGUGGCGCGAGCCAGUACCGUGGAUCCGGAAGUGGAGCCGGGUAUGGCUCCAGCACCGCUUCUAGCGAGUCAGCUGGAGGAGUAUUUGUUGCUUUCCCUGGAUAUUCUAGCGCUGAUGGUACCGGCGGCGGCGGUGGCGGAGGACAAGCGGGAGGUUACGAUGGAUCUAGUGGUCAUGGAGAGGGCAGUGGCACCGGCUCCGGUUCCAGCUCCGCCAAGUCUACCUAUUAUGGAGGAGAGGAUGCAAAUGCAAGUGUUAAGGGUAGUGGAGGUGGCAAAGGAGGCGGCGAAAAUGGUGGGAGCGGCGGCGGCGGCGGGAGCGGAUCCGGAAAUGCCGAAGCAAACCCUUAA
rnacentral:rRNA from 1 species